UAGGGAAUCUUCGGCAAUGGGGGGAACCCUGACCGAGCAACGCCGCGUGAGUGAAGAAGGUUUUCGGAUCGUAAAGCUCUGUUGUUAAGGAAGAACGAGUGUGAGAAUGGAAAGUUCAUACUGUGACGGUACUUAACCAGAAAGGGACGGCUAACUACGUGCCAGCAGCCGCGGUAAUACGUAGGUCCCGAGCGUUGUCCGGAUUUAUUGGGCGUAAAGCGAGCGCAGGCGGUUAGAUAAGUCUGAAGUUAAAGGCGGUGGCUCAACCAUUGUAGGCUUUGGAAACUGUUUGACUUGAGUGCAGAAGGGGAGGGUGGAAUUCCAUGUGUAGCGGUGAAAUGCGUAGAGAUAUGGAGGAACACCGGUGGCGAAAGCGGCUCUCUGGUCUGUAACUGACGCUGAGGCUCGAAAGCGUGGGGAGCGAACAGG
rnacentral:rRNA from 1 species